CCUACGGGUGGCUGCAGUGAGGAAUAUUGGUCAAUGGACGCUAGUCUGAACCAGCCAUGUAGCGUGCAGGAUGACUGCCCUAUGGGUUGUAAACUUCUUUUGUAUGGGAAUAAUAUUCCGUAUGUGUACUGCUUUGCAUGUACCUUAUGAAUAAGGAUCGGCUAACUCCGUGCCAGCAGCCGCGGUAAUACGGAGGAUCCGAGCGUUAUCCGGAUUUAUUGGGUUUAAAGGGAGCGUAGGCUGGUGGUUAAGUCAGUUGUGAAAUGUCGCGGCUCAACCCUGAGAUUGCAGCUGAUACUGGUAGACUAGAGUGCAGUAGCGGCAGGCGGAAUGCGUGGUGUAGCGGUGAAAUGCUUAGAUAUUACGAAGAACUCCGAUUGCGCAGGCAGCUUGCUGAACUGUAACUGACGCUGAUGCUCGAAAGCGUGGGUAGCAAACAGGAUUAGAUACCCGAGUAGUC
rnacentral:rRNA from 1 species